rnacentral:snRNA from 1 species
GUGCUCACUUUGGCAGCACAUAUCCUAAAAUCCGAAUGAUACAGAGAAGAUUAGCACGGCCCCUGUGCAAGGAUGACAUGCAAAUUCAUGAAGCGUUCC